UACAGAGGCCCCAAGCGUUACUGAGAAUCACUGGGCUUAAAGGGUGCGUAGGUGGUCCGUUAAGUCUGUUGUGAAAGCCCUUGGCUCAACCAAGGAAUUGCUUCGGAUACUGGCGGACUUGAGGCUAGUAGAGGUCACUGGAACUGACGGUGGAGCGGUGAAAUGCGUAGAUAUCGUCAGGAACGCCGGUGGUGAAGACGGGUGACUGGGCUAGUUCUGACACUGAGGCACGAAAGCGUGGGGAGCGAUCCGG
rnacentral:rRNA from 1 species